UACGUAGGGGGCUAGCGUUGUCCGGAUUUAUUGGGCGUAAAGAGCGUGUAGGCGGCCAAGUAGGUCCGGUGUGAAAACUCGAGGCUUAACCUCGAGAUGUCAUCGGAAACCAUUUGGCUAGAGUCCGGAAGAGGAAAGUGGAAUUCAUGGUGUAGCAGUGAAAUGCGUAGAUAUCAUGAGGAAGACCAGUUGCGAAGGCGACUCUCUGGGCAACUCCUGACACUGAGGCACGAAGGCUAGGGGAGCAAACGGG
rnacentral:rRNA from 1 species